GGUGUCCCUAACCCCAAAGGUAAGCGCUGUCCACAGGUCUCUUGCUACAUAGUCACCCAGUGUUGCACUUUUUUGUCUGACAACACAGUAACAAACUAAGAUGUCUUCAUGACCACUUGUUAGGGUGUCCCCACAUCUAGAAUCUAAGUCCCAGGCAGGCAGAAUCAUUUCAUUCACUAAUGCACCCCCUUCCCUAACACUGUGCCUGGCACAUAGUACAUGCACAGAUAAAAUCUAGUGACUGAAUGAUUCCCCCUCGGCGGUAGCUGUGUCGGACACCCCAGUGGGCAGAACUGGGCAGCGGAGAAAGAUGCACCUGUGCCUCCUGUGGAAAUGGAGGACCAUGACGAGGAGGCCAGGGGGUAACAGAGCAGGCUGUCCUGCACAGCCACUCGGCCUGAGCAAGGUGCCCUGCAGGGCAGAUGGCUGCUCUCCUGCACCUGGGCUGCUCCUUGGACCUGGAUGUCCUUUACCUAGAGACAGAGAAGAAAGUACCCUCAACAGAGCCCCACACCGUAACGCUCCCCCAGCCUUCCCAGCCCACCAGGAUCAGGGCACAUGCACCGGCAUGUACAGGUCCACCCUGGAACUGAACCCCAGUCUUCUCUGAGGCUCCAGCACCACCAAGUGGCAUGAUGGCACUGCUCACUGUUCCUGGGCCUCAGGCACCUUUUGAAUCCGCCCUCUGCCCGUUGGAGACUUCUGGAUUCAGUGCACGUGCCCUGUGGCAAAAACUCUUAAAAAAG